rnacentral:lncRNA from 1 species
CAGCUUUUAACCCAUCCAUUUACAAAGCCUCCUGAUAUUAUUGCAUCUAUGAUCAAUUUAAAUGAACUUGUUGGAGGUUUACUAGUGGCCUUCCUGUAUUUCAUGCCUCACUACAUAUUUUUCCAGAGCAUUUACAGUUUUUACUUAUUGUUAGUUUGAAGGGAAUAGAGAAUUCUCACCACAAAGUCACACUUUUAUUUAAAGCUUUAAUUGUCUCUAAGAAGAGCCUGUCUGAAACCCAGUCCUUCUUUGGAAUCACUGAUGUCAUUUAUUAUCCAGUAAACUCUUACAGGCUUUGGGACAGGUUAAUACUCCUCAGUAUCAGUAUAAUUUUUCUUAGGCUGUGUUACUGUGUUUAUAUGAGGAUCUUCAUUUUGCUUUGGCAGCAGAAUUUCUUUUCUGCUUCUGCAAAUUACAAAGAAAAAAAAAAAAGCUUUCCUAAGCUGGAUCGCUUUGCAGCUGUGAAAACCUAUAAUAACUUCAGUCGGAUUACAACUACAUCAAAGGUAUUAUAUAUCCCUGAGUAACAUAUUUACUGGGCUUUUCAACAGCUGUAUAAUUAGCUCUAGAUGACUACUUUUUUCCUCCACAUCUUUAAAUAUCCAUAUUCCAAAUUCACAGAUAUUCAAAGGGAAGGUGCUUUUCCCUUUCACAGAAGGUGCAGUACACCAGAUUUUUUCCUCAGCUUUUUUUUUUUUUUAAUUUUAUUUUUUCCUUUUUUCCCCCUUUUUUUUUUCCCCAGAAGAAAAAAUAGGCUUGAGCUCGGCAGUCCCCUGGUAAGCAGACCCACCGUGUCCAUCACGCCUCCCGGUCACUGCGGCUGCCCGACUGACGAGGGAAGAGUUUCAGGCAGGGGAUGGGGACACAGUCCUUUGUGGCAUCCCCCAAGGAGGCAGCUCAGAGCAGCAGCUGUCCCCAGAGCCUGUCGCAGCCCCCUCGGACAAAGGGGGUGGCAGAAGCUGAUGGGACCUUGAACUCAGUUUUCUCCUUAGAAAGAUUUCCUAAAGUGAGCUCCUAGCCUGGAAUUGUCUGUUCCCAGUGGCCUUGCAAUGUGUUGCCUGGCUGGCUCUGAUGUGCAGGGAAGACUCAGCUGGCUGAGCACUUUCAGGACAAACAGAUAAGACAAUUUACUAUCUGAUUUUAUGAGAGCCAUUUACACUUUGCAGAAUUUUUUAAGCAGCAAGCCCUUAAGAAGCAUAUUCUGAGCAUGAUACCUAGGAGAAUUGCACACACAUUUCCUGUCAGCAGCCAGAGAACGGUGUCUAACACCUGCUAUGAAGAGCUUGAAAUAUAUUCUUAAAUGGCUUGAUUGCUCUGCAUUUCCCCUGAGAUGAGAUGAGACGUUGUGGUGCAGUUUCUUUCCUGCAAGCAGACCGACUGCAGACGCCUCUCCUGGCUGAGCCUGUGCUCCUGCUUACACCCCUGGAACUGGAGCCUGUGCUUACAGCCCAGCCUGUGCUCACAGCCCAGCCUGUGCUCCUGCUUACACCCCCUGGAACUGGAGCCUGUGCUUACAGCCCAGCCUGUGCUCCUGCUUACAGCCCCUGGAACUGGAGCCUGUGCUUACAGCCCAGCCUGUGCUCGCUGGGACCCUCAGGACCAGCAACUGGGGCCAGCAGACACGGGCCAAAGGCAAUUUAGGGCAGGAUCCUGCCAUACAAGGGCUUACAGAGCAGGCUGAGAGCAAUGAUAAGCACCAGUGGAGAAGCCCCUCGAAGGGUCCUUGGUGUAAGCACACACCUGUGACUCUGCAGUGUCUGUUCCUCCUCUGCAUCAUCCCCAGCCACACUUGGGAAGCCAGCAGCAAUAGAGACCUGUUUUGCAAGAGAAGUGAAAACACCCACCUUGGUUUCCUGGCUCAGUCUGCUUUUUCAGAGCAUCCUGUGACUCCCAUCCAGGUGUACUGCAGUGUCAUCAGGAGGAAAUCCUCCCAUCCCUGGCCAGGUGAGAGCCAGCAGACCUUGGGGUCUGGCUGAACACAUCUUCCCCUGCAUCUCCAGCCUCUGACACUCCACCAAACCAGCUAUGACACAGAGACAGCUAUGACACAGCUCAGCUACCCAAGCACUGGAUGAGGAAACCAGAGAGCCUUCUAGGCAGCACCUCCCAAGAACUCAAGCCUCAGCAUCUUUGGUUCACAGCAGGUGGGACAGAGAGGUGCUGAGAGUGAGACACACCUUUACAGGGGACAUUUUCAUUUCAGCAUCUUGAAUGGGAACACAUUUCCAGCCAUUACCUUGCAGUCUUUGCACUCCUCUGUGCAGCUCACCCCACCACACACCCACCCCACGGCUGGUUUAGGGUUUUCUUAGAGCAAGACCUGGUUCUUAGAGGUUUCAGCUGGAUUUGGUGGAAGCUGAGAGCUUCCUUCCCCAUAGACAGUGCAAUCCAAUAUCAAUUUUAUAUGAAAAGAAAACAUCAGUGAUUUUCUACUGCAAAGUGUUUGUGUUUUGAGACACCUGAAUUUCCUCAGUAAAGGAAAGAAGGAAUCCAUUAGGUAUGUAAAUAUUAAUAUUUAUGAAAUAAAUCCUGAAAUUUCAGCUCUUCUUUAGUUGUG